UAAGUGCAAAGUGCCAAACAUACGUUUGCACUUAUUUAACAAGCAAUAUAAAAUGUAUACUGCAAUGUAGCAGGACCAACUAAUACUUUGUUUUACUUGCUGUUUCACUACUGCGAGUGGCAGGCAAUUGAAUUGUUUAAGUCAAAGCCAGCCAGCUGACUAGCCAAGUCGCAGCUGCAUGUGUGGCAUGCAUGGCAUGUGCGUGUGUGUUUUUUGUGGUUUCAUAGGAUUGGAGAUGGUUGAAGAUCGUUGAAGAGGCAGGUGUAAGUCCGUGCAGUUCUCCUGCCACCAUGACGUCUUUGCUUCAGCGCUCGGCGGUCGUGCUCAGCGUUGCGCGCCUGCUCAAUACCAAUUCAAGCACAGUUGUGCGAAAGUUCAGCGUCCUCGCUGCAAGUGUCGGCCAUCGGAACAGAUCUUUCACUCCCCCGCUCAUAGCAGAAUUUCCAUUGCAAGUUGCAGUGAGGACAUUUAAAGAUAUGGACGUCCUCACGAAACGAUGCAAAGAUUGCUACUUCAAGAAAGGGGACGAUCGUUGGUAUGUGCUCUGCAAGACUCAUGGAAGGCACAAGCAAAGGCAGCGUCUGCCUGACGAACGUCACUUCUGGAUAAUAACUCACAAGACGCAUGGCCCAAGAAAAAAUUUUUAGAUUGACAGAGCAAUGUAAUUACAUGUGCAUUAAACCUCAUGUUUGCUUUAGGCAUUACAAAGCCAUAA